rnacentral:rRNA from 1 species
GACGAACGCUGGCGGCGUGCCUAAUACAUGCAAGUAGAACGCUGAAGGAGGAGCUUGCUCUUCUGGAUGAGUUGCGAACGGGUGAGUAACGCGUAGGUAACCUGCCUGGUAGCGGGGGAUAACUAUUGGAAACGAUAGCUAAUACCGCAUAACAGUAGAUGUUGCAUGACAUUUGCUUAAAAGGUGCAAUUGCACCACUACCAGAUGGACCUGCGUUGUAUUAGCUAGUUGGUGGGGUAACGGCUCACCAAGGCGACGAUACAUAGCCGACCUGAGAGGGUGAUCGGCCACACUGGGACUGAGACACGGCCCAGACUCCUACGGGAGGCAGCAGUAGGGAAUCUUCGGCAAUGGACGGAAGUCUGACCGAGCAACGCCGCGUGAGUGAAGAAGGUUUUCGGAUCGUAAAGCUCUGUUGUAAGAGAAGAACGAGUGUGAGAGUGGAAAGUUCACACUGUGACGGUAUCUUAACAGAAAGGGACGGCUAACUACGUG